GAUGAACGCUGGCGGCGUGCCUAAUACAUGCAAGUCGAGCGAACAGACGAGGAGCUUGCUCCUCUGACGUUAGCGGCGGACGGGUGAGUAACACGUGGAUAACCUACCUAUAAGACUGGGAUAACUUCGGGAAACCGGAGCUAAUACCGGAUAAUAUAUUGAACCGCAUGGUUCAAUAGUGAAAGACGGUUUUGCUGUCACUUAUAGAUGGAUCCGCGCCGCAUUAGCUAGUUGGUAAGGUAACGGCUUACCAAGGCAACGAUGCGUAGCCGACCUGAGAGGGUGAUCGGCCACACUGGAACUGAGACACGGUCCAGACUCCUACGGGAGGCAGCAGUAGGGAAUCUUCCGCAAAGGGCGAAAGCUUGACGGAGCAACGCCGCGUGAGUGAUGAAGGUCUUCGGAUCGUAAAACUCUGUUUUUAGGGAAGAACAAAUGUGUAAGUAACUAUGCACGUCUUGACGGUACCUAAUCAGAAAGCCACGGCUAACUACGUG
rnacentral:rRNA from 1 species